UAUAUUGUUUCAUUUAAAAACAAGAAUAACAUUUUCAGACAGAAAACAAAGAGGACAGAGACAGCACACCUUCCUUCUUCAUCCAGCCCUGUUCCUACUGUGCUUUGAAAAAACCAGAAAGAAGAAAGAAACAACUAAAUGGUUGCAAUGAAAUGUCAUUAAUGCAGUAUCAGCAGCCCCACAAAUCUGGUAAGAAGCAUCACGCCAGCAACUCUACCCAUAUAUGACACCUUGUUUAUAAAAAACCCACAAGGACUUAAAAUUUUUUUUGAAAUUGGUAUUAAUAUAGUACUCAGUGUCGAGAAAUGGAGGCACUGAGGUGGUAAAAUACAUGCUCAACUACAUUCAUAAGAUUUAAAAUGUUUAAUGUGCAAGUCUCGGACAGAAAUUAUUAAUUUACAAUACACUAAAAUUUGAAGGAUGGGAAUGUCUUCUUCAUGUGUAUGUUCACAGUAGCAGGUGAAAUACUCAGCUGCUGAAGUACAAACAUCAGUAUGCUUAAGUGACUUAUGCAUCAUUUUUAAGGCAAAAAUGGGUAGCAACAUGACUGCAAAAAUAUUUACAGAUAUCAUUAGAGAAACAUCAUACUUCUAGCACGAAAAUUUUAAUUGUGCACUUAGUAGACAGUGAUUUACUUGAAAAAUUACCAUUAAAAAUGUAAAAUUAAUCUAGCUAGGAUGAGUAGCACUGACAUUUUUAUCUGGGCCUUCACACACUCUGAUCUUUGCCCCUCGACCUCUACCACUGUAAGCUGUCCUCUCUCUCCCUGCCACUUUCCAGUCUUAUUACAAAGGUGCAGGUGUGCCUGAGCAGCCUUAGGGAUCCACAGAGGAAGAAGCCGCAGUGCUAAAAAAGUAUGCAAAAGGUCCCAACAAGAAAAAAAAGGAAAAAACAGAUCCUGAGAAAUAAAAUUAGUGAGAAGGAAAAAAAAAAAAGGAAUUAAAGGUGCUAUCUGCAGGUAUGCAGGGAUUUGCUCAGUCGUCCUUGUCUUUUGCUCCGUGUUUCAGGAUGCGCGUGAAUUCGAUGUAGUUGAAAUUGCCCUUUUUGUCGAUGGGGGCCUCUCUGUACAGCUCAUCCACCUCCUCA